UUUUUGGAGAGUUUGAUCCUGGCUCAGGACGAACGCUGGCGGCGUGCCUAAUACAUGCAAGUCGAGCGGACAGAUAAGGAGCUUGCUCCUUUGAAGUCAGCG
rnacentral:rRNA from 1 species